rnacentral:rRNA from 1 species
UACGGAGGGGGCUAGCGUUGUUCGGAAUUACUGGGCGUAAAGCGCACGUAGGCGGCUUUGUAAGUUAGAGGUGAAAGCCCAGGGCUUAACUCUGGAAUUGCCUUUAAGACUGCAUCGCUAGAAUCGUGGAGAGGUGAGUGGAAUUCCCAGUGUAGAGGUGAAAUUCGUAGAUAUUGGGAAGAACACCGGUGGCGAAGGCGGCUCACUGGCUCAUUACUGACGCUCAGGCGCGACAGCGUGGGGAUCAAACAGG